CCCGAUCUCCGAAGUUAAGCAACGUUGAGCCUGGUCAGUACCUAAAUGGGUGACCGCCUGGAGAUAACAGGUGCUGUAAG
rnacentral:rRNA from 1 species